rnacentral:rRNA from 1 species
GAUGAACGCUAGCGGCAGGCUUAAUACAUGCAAGUCGUGGGGCAGCACAGGUAGCAAUACUGGGUGGCGACCGGCAAACGGGUGCGGAACACGUACGCAACCUUCCUUUAAGCGGGGAAUAGCCCGAGGGAAACUUGGAUUAAUACCCCAUAUCAUAAUCGGGUGGCAUCACCUGACUAUUAAAGCUCCGGCACUUAAAG